rnacentral:lncRNA from 1 species
GGCGUCACUUGUAAGUCCUGUGUGGACAAGGCGCGUUUUUGGCGUAUUGAAUUUUAAACCUGAUGCUUUUUGUUAUCUAUUAAUCAUGUUUUUCUUUGUCUAAUAUGUUCUAUUUAUUUGUAUUGUAGUCCUGUAAUAUUAUGUUGUCAUUUCAAUGUUAUAUUUAACUUUGCCAUUAAAGUGCGAGGUUUGGCAUGCCACAAAACCAGGUUCAACCCACCACUUUUAUUCCCCUUUAAAAGUGUCCUGUACCAAGUCAGGAAGAUGGCCAUUGUUAUAUUAUUGUUCGUUUCUGUGUGUGUUGCAUUUUAACGUUGAGUCGUUUGUGUUUUCUCUUAUUUUUGAGAUAUUGAGAUCAGACGUGGCACGGUACUUGUCUAUCCCAAAUUCAUGUAUUUGAUUUUCAUGUUAUAUUUGUUAUUCUCGUGGUGUUUUAUCUGAUGCUUGGUCCGUUUCGGUGUUAUGUCGUUGUUCUCCUCUUAUAUUUAAUGCGUUUCCCUCGGUUUUAGUUUGUUACCCCGAUUUUGUUUUUUGUCCCUGGAUUUAUGAGUUUUAAACAGCAGUAUACUACUGUUGCCUUUAUUUAAAAGAGUAUCCGAAAUGCAUAGU